GGAGUCUGGGCCGUAUCUCAGUCCCAAUGUGGCCGUUCAACCUCUCAGUUCGGCUACUGAUCGUCGCCUUGGUAAGCCAUUACCUUACCAACUAGCUAAUCAGGCACAAGCCCAUCUAUUAGCGGAUUUCUCCUUUCCUGUUUUUGUCAUGCGAUAUUCACAGCAUAUGCGGUAUUAGCAAUGAUUUCUCAUUGUUAUUCCCCUCUAAUAGGCAGGUUGCUCAUGUGUUACUCACCAGUCCGCCACUAAAGCCAUUGUUAUAAAUUCAAUUCCGAUAAAUCUUCUUAUCCUUUAUAACGACUUCCGUUCGACUUGCAUGUCUUAUGUGCGCCGCCAGCGUUUAUC
rnacentral:rRNA from 1 species